rnacentral:rRNA from 1 species
AUUGAACGCUGGCGGCAUGCCUUACACAUGCAAGUCGAACGGCAGCGCGGGCUUCGGCCUGGCGGCGAGUGGCGGACGGGUGAGUAAUGCAUCGGAACGUGCCCAGGAGUGGGGGAUAACGUAGCGAAAGUUACGCUAAUACCGCAUACGUACUGAGGUAGAAAGCGGGGGAUCGAAAGACCUCGCGCUCAUGGAGCGGCCGAUGUCGGAUUAGCUAGUUGGUGGGGUAAAAGCUCACCAAGGCGACGAU